GCGUCCAUGAUGUAGCCUGGCAGCCUGCCACCUUGCCAUGGUGGAUGCGGCGGUUCAAAUCCGCCUGGACGCU
rnacentral:tRNA from 1 species